rnacentral:rRNA from 1 species
GACGAACGCUGGCGGCGUGCUUAACACAUGCAAGUCGAACGGAAAGGCCCUGCUUUUGUGGGGUGCUCGAGUGGCGAACGGGUGAGUAACACGUGAGUAACCUGCCCUUGACUUUGGGAUAACUUCAGGAAACUGGGGCUAAUACCGGAUAGGAGCUCCUGCUGCAUGGGGGGGGUUGGAAAGUUUCGGCGGUUGGGGAUGGACUCGCGGCUUAUCAGCUUGUUGGUGGGGUAGUGGCUUACCAAGGCUUUGACGGAUAGCCGGCCUGAGAGGUUGACCAGCCACAUUGGGCCUGCGAUACGGCCCAGACUCCUACGGGAGGCAGCAGUGGGGAAUAUUGCACAAUGGGCGGAAGCCUGAUGCAGCAACGCCGCGUGCGGGAUGACGGCCUUCGGGUUGUAAACCGCUUUCGCCUGUGACGAAGAGUGAGUGACGGUAAUGGGUAAAGAAGCACCGGCUAACUACGUG